CCAACUGAAAGACAAACCAGCAUCUUGCUGGACGACCCCUCACAGGGCUACUGGAUCCUUGAAGUGUGACCUUCAGCAGCUGAGAGGCAAUGACAAGGUACCUACCUUCAGGAUUGCUGUGAGGAUGAAAUGAAUUACUAGAUGUAAAGUGCUCAGAACAUUGGUCCCUGCAUAUAUUUAAUGUUCGAAAAAAAAUGUGGCAGCCAGCAGGGCGUGAAUGUAGACCGCAAACUGGGCCCGGAUCCAUUCGUCACCUCCCUCCCAGCCCGUGCCAUCUAGGAAGACGUCAUCCCGAUUCUCAGUCACGUGCCUCACUAGCAUUGCUCCAAAAAUUACAGUGGAAUUGCUAAACUGCAGCAAGCAUCUAAGUAUACAAAAAAUCCAGCAUACUUCUUGAGAGUACAAGUGUUAACACUGGAAUGAUUCACUGAAGGAAGAUAUGCAAUUUCUGCUGAAAGAUUCUAAAUCAGAAUGGGUUUUCAGCAAGUGGCAUGACUUGUUAUACAGCCAGGAAGGCAGACUCACUGAACCCCUCAACUUGUUUUCAGCCUCAAGUUCUAAAAGUUUUAUUUUUUUACAUCUCAUCACUUUUUAAAACACAGAAUUAUGUCAUCUGGAUAAUGUCAUGUUUACAUCAUGAGACAAAUCUCUCUGAAGGCAGGAGAUAUCCCCUUUGCAACUUGAUAUUCUUUAUUACAACUAGGAGAGCGCUUUGUGUGUAACAGGUGGUUGUUCAAUACUUAACAUGAAAGGGAAUGCUUCCAAAAGUUGGAAUAUAUGUCGGAAUAUAUGUCUAGUAAUUUGGUUAUAUUCUUACUCUUGAAAAUGUCUUUGUUGCUUGAUCAGACCCUAACAGAAGCAGCAAAAAUAAAUCCAUACCUUUGCAUUAGAAAUGCUCAGUAUAGAGCUUCUCAACCCAGGCUCCUCAUUCAGAAUCAGUAUUAUAUUUCAUAAUAAUAACAAAACUAAAAAGUAUGUUUUUAAAAAGUAAGUAGGUCAAAGCUUUUAAAAAAUGUUUAAAAAUCCUUUAAAAAUUUAUAAAUAUAUAUGCCUUUUGGCCCAGCAUUCUACUUGUAAUUUAUCCUACAGUAUCCUACAAAUAUUAUAUCAUGUGUGAUAUUAUAUUUAUGAAAAUAAAUGCAAUACCAAAAAACUCGAAUCCAAACUCUUCAUGAAUAGGGGACUAAAUAAAUGUUCAUCCAUACAAUGAACCUGCAGCCAUAAAAAGUGAUGAUGUUCAUCUCCAAAGAAUAUUAUGGGCUGGGCAUGGUGGCUCAUGCCUGUAAUCCCA